GGGCGUGUAGCUCAGCUGGUUAGAGCAACUGGUUUACAUCCAGUAGGUCGGGGGGUCGAGCCCCUCCGCGCCCACCA
rnacentral:tRNA from 1 species